GACUUACGGCCGAGUGGUUAAGACGUUGGACUUAGGUUCCAAUGGACGCAAGUCCUCGUGGGUUCGAACCCCAUUCGCGCUACA